UUCUCCUUAUCUCUCUUUCAUUUUUCAAAAUAAAAAAAUAACGAAAUCAAAAACACUAAAUCGUUCAAUCAUCUUCUCAAACACAAAAUAGUAAUGGAUUGUUCACUCAAAUAUCAACGUAAUUACAUUACGUUAUUCUAUGUUCAAUUUUAUAUCAUGAUUUCAUCUGAAUACGUCAUCAACUUCACAUGUAGAAAUAAACGACAAUCAGAAACAGAUGAAUCUGUAAUGGAGCCUUUGAAAAAGAGAAAAGAUGAAGGUACAAGUAAAACAACAGAAACCUCGAAGAUUUCGGAACAAAGAACUACAAUGACAGGCCAUCUAUAAAAAAAGUCCGAUGGUAAGUGAUUCUAGAUUUAGGUAUUCAUUGUGUAUUUGAUACGUGAUUCAAGAUUUAGAUUAUACUUAGUAUCUAGUACGUGAUUUAGGUAUAUAUUGUGUAACUGGCACAUGAUUCUAGAUUUAGCUGCACAUUGAGUAUCUGGUACGUGAUUCUAGAUUUAGGUAUACACUGAGAAUCUAGUACGUGAUUUAGGUAUAACAUUACAUUGAGAAACAUCUGUUACUGUUUUCAAAAAAAUGGUAAAUGAUUCUAGAUGUAGGUAUACAUUAAGUACCAGGUACGUCAUUUAGCUAUUCAUCAAUCUUUUGGUAUGUGAAUCUAGAUGUAGGGGUAGUUACACUGAGCAUUUGUAUAUUGCUUGCACAUGAUUCUAGAUGUGGGGUUAGUUACAUUAAGAUGUAAAGUAACCAUUUGUUACUGCUUGCAAACAUUGUACGUGAUUUUAGAUGUAAGAUUACAUAGAAAAAAAUGUUAUUGUUUUUAACAAUUGGUAUAUGAGAUUAUAGAUGUACACUUAUGUUGAUCAUUUGUAAUGUCUCAUUUUACUGUUUCUAUAUAUUGGCAACAUAUACGUAACCCUAAAGUGGCAAUUGUUUCUUAUGAUGAUGACGGCGACUUUGUAAACCCACCUAAACCCUUAAAAGAUUCAAAUACAGUUUUGGUGAGCAAUUUGCCCCCAAGAAAAGCCUUUGUUCCGUACACGAACAAUAAGUUAAAAGUGAGGGCAAGUGUGAGCAACUUCACAGAAGCAAUACAGAGUUUGACAAAAGAAGCAGUUAAAAAAUGGGUUUUGAGUCUUUGCUUUCAAUGAACAUAAUAACUGUACCAACAAGGAUGGCACAUUAGUUAUUACCAAACUAUGACCAUGAACGCGGUGAUCUAAACAAAGGAAACCAUAUCAUAUAAGUAACCCCACAGAAGGUGAAUGACAUAUUUUAGAUUCCUUUGGGUAGUGUCAUAGUGAUUGAGAAAACCAAGAAAAGGGUCAUCAUGUACACAUGAUGCAUGGUUAGUCCAAUAUCAAAUGGAAAAAAAUUAGUAACAAGUGUUAAAAAAUGUAUUAACAAGCAAGAAGGCAGACUGGACUUUCAAAUUGAACUUGUUCUCUACAACUCAUUACUCGGUGAGACGACAAAAGGCUCAACAGUGAACAAAAGGGUUUUAACAACAGUAACAGAUGAUUCUGCAGUAACAAAGUUGAAUUGAUGUAAUUAUUGAUCACUUGCAUGAAAAGGACAAAGGAAGAGUGGAACAGAGUAGAGCCUUACCAUGGACCACUAGCAUUUCUUGCGGUACUUUACGUUCAUGAACAAAGGCUGGCACAUAAUCCAGUAGAAGCACAUACUCCAACAAUCAAGCAUAUUAAAACUGAACGUCUGUUUCAGAUUGAUGAGUAUUUAUAUCACAAUGGGCUAUUUUCAAGCGAGGAAAAAGAAAAUGAAGAGAAUGAAGAAGAAGUAGCAAAUGAACAAACAAGAAUAAAUGAGGAAACAUCUUUGCAUGAAGGUGAUGAGCAAAAUGAAGAAAUGGAACAUGAAAAGAAUGAAGAAAAACAAGAGAAAGAACCAUAAGCAAAUCAAGAUCAAAGCAAUGAAGGUAGAAAGUAGAGACGAACAUAAAUAACGAAUCAAUUAAUAUUGAUUAUUAUAUCAACCAGACCUACAACAUCAAAUAUGUCAAGAGACCCGUGUGGGUAUAACACCAAAUUCCAUUGAUGACAUUAAAGAUUACAUUCCAUAUUAUAGCACUCCUAACAUAGGACACGCUCAGGAAGAUCAAAUGGAUAAAGGUAAUCAGAAUGUGCAAAAAUGAUGAUGAUGCUUCAAGUGAACACACUCAAAGUGAAGAAGCACGAACAACAGAAAUUGUGCAAAAUGAAAAAUAAAGAUCAACGAAUGAAGGCGGAACACCAUUGAACAUUCAAAUCCCUAUGUUAUGGGUGAAAUUCUGAGCCUAUAUCUUGGUCAAUAUUUUGAGUUAUAUCCUGAUUAUAUGAUAUGUGUUCAUACCCCGGGUUACGCGUUCAGGAUAUUGGUAACAUCCUGAAUGGUAUCCUGAGGAUCACUAACGGGUUAUGUGCAGGAAUAGGAGUCCAAGCUUAUAACGUUCAUGAGGACCUUUCUCCGGAAGACUCGUUCUAAGUUGUUCGAAGAGGGACGUUGAACCCGCUUUACUUGGUCUCCAACGGCUAAUAAAGAAUAUUCGAAGGCAUCCCAUACUUAUAGGAGAUGUUGUUUUCGUUUACUAGCUAUAAAUAGAUGAUAGAUCAGAUCGAAUAGGACACAACAUGAACACUCACUGCUCUCACACUUUCCUUUCUCGCAACUUUCACUUUCAUAACAAACAUUGUAACACUUAGAGAUCUGAUCAAUAUCCUGCACUGUAUCCUGACGUUUAAGCAAUAAGAAGAACAA